UCCCUGGUGGCUCAGAUGGUAAAAGCGUCAGCCUACAAUGUGGGAGACCCAGGUUCCAUUCCUGGGUCGGGAA
rfam:TPA: Bos taurus chromosome 4, whole genome shotgun sequence.